rnacentral:lncRNA from 1 species
CAGCACUCACCCUCUCCCUUUUCUUUGUCUGUUCCCAGGGCUUUUCAUGUUUGAAGUAGGCCUUUUUACUCCUGGAAGCAAGGGAAGAAGGGGGAGACUGUUUGGGAACUAUGGAGAUCCUCCUGCGUGUCUUCUGCUUCAGAGUCUGAGAUCAUUGGAAGCAAGGAAGCAAAGAGGAAAUUAUCUCUGAUCAGUAUAACUGGUAAGAGGGUGGGAGCUGUCUAGGUAUUCCUCAAAUGUGGGUUAGUGGAGAU